UCUUAAUGGUUUGUUAGCUAAGAACAAUUUUGCAAAUAAUCUUAUAGGACUCGGCCAGUAUGAGGCGCUCUCUCUCUCUCUGAGUGGGAUAACGAAAAUAUCAAAAGAACCAAUAGGUUAUAAAAACCAUAAAGUGUACAACCCUUCGUUCAUGGUAUAGAAUGGUGAAAGGACAGAAGAAUAUCUUAUUAUCUAUUCUUGAACCUUUUCUUUUUCCAGGAUCUCCUAUAACUAAACAAUUCACGGUUCACCUAGAAAAGCCAUAAAGUCUACAACCUUUCGUUCGACUUUGAGCUUUUUAAAUGGCUUCUGCUUGGGCGCAAAAACCUCCUUCUUCUUCUUCCUUCCCUAUCCCACCGCAACGCAGAUACGAUGUCUUCUUGAGUUUCAGCGGCAUCGAUACCCGCAACAACUUUACCAGCCAUCUUCUAGCCGCUUUAGAGCGACACGGUUUUCAUACGUUCAGAGACAACACAAAGCUCAAUAGAGGAGAGGAUAUUGGUUACGAGCUACUGAAAGCAAUUGAGGACUCAAGAAUUUCACUUGUCGUUCUCUCGAGAAAUUAUGCCGCGUCAGGGUGGUGCCUUGAUGAACUUGAGAAGAUCAUGGAGUGCUGGAAGACCUUGCAACACAUUGUUUUUCCUAUCUUCCAUGGCGUUGGGCCAACAGAUGUGCGAGCGCAAAAGGGGAGUCUUGCAGAAGCAUUCGACAAACAUGCAGAGCAUUUUAAAGAUCAGAGUCCAGGUAGCAAGGUGGAGAAGUGGAAAGAAGCGCUUACUCAGAUUGCCAACUUAUCAGGCUGGGACUUGCCAAAGUUGGACAACGGGGAUGAAGCAAAGUUAAUUCAAAAAAUCGUUGAAGAGGUUGGAAAUAGAUUAGACAUUGGACAUCUAAAUGUUGCAGACCACCAAGUUGGAAUGGAGUCUCGUCUGCAAGAACUCAAUGUUCUUUUGCGGAUGGAAUCUAGUAAUACUCGCAUUGUUGGAAUAUGGGGGAUUGGUGGAAUUGGUAAGACUACAAUUGCUAUGAAACAGUUUAAUGUCAUCCGACAUAUGUUUGAAGGUAGCAGUUUUCUUGCGAAUGUUGCAGAAACUUCAAAGCAACCAAAUGGUUUGGUUUGUUUACAAGAGCAACUUCUUUUAGAUAUAUGUAGCAACGGAACCCAUAAUAUAAGAAAUUCCUAUCAAGGAAUUGCGGUUAUAAAACAAAGAGCUUUCUGUCGAAAGGUUCUUCUCGUUCUUGAUGAUGUGGAUAAUGUCCAGCAAUUGAAAGCAUUAGCAAUAGAUCAAGAUUCCUUCAGGUCUGGAACUGGAAGUAGGAUUAUCAUAACAACAAGAGAUGUGUCUUUGCUAAAUUUGCUUAAAGUGGAUGAGAUAUAUGCAGCAAAGGAGUUAAAUAGGAGUGAAUCUCUUCAACUCUUAAGUUGGCAUGCCUUUAAGGAAGACCAUCCCAAAGGCAACUAUUUGGACCUUUCGGAUCAAGUCGUGGCCUAUGCUGGAGGGAUUCCAUUAGCUCUUGAAGUUUUGGGCUCCUUUCUGUAUGGCAAGAGCAUACAUGAAUGGAAAAGUGCAAUUUCAAAAUUGAAAAAAAUCCCUCCCGUAGAUGUUCAAGCAAAACUUAAGAUGAGUUUUGAUUCUCUAAGUGAUGAAGUGAAAGAGUUGUUCCUAGAUAUGGCAUGUUUUUUUGCCAGAACAUAUGGUGUUUCUACGAUCAAAAUACUUGAGGGCUGUAAUUUUUUCGCUGCAAUUGGGAUUCGGGUUCUGGCUGAUCGGUGUCUCAUAAAAUAUGGGCCCUGUAAUGAGCUUUUGAUGCAUGAUUUGAUUAGAGGCAUGGGCAGAGAAAUUGUCCGACAAGAAUCUGUUAAAGAGCCAGGGAGGCGUAGCAGAUUGUGGUAUAAAGAGGAUGCCCUUGAAGUGUUGAGAGAUGGAACGGGAACUGAAGCGGUUGAAGGUCUCUUCCUAAACUUUGCUGAGCCGAAUGACAUCCAAGUGAAUCCAAGGGCCUUUGAAAAGAUGAACAGACUAUGGCUACUUCAUCUCAAUUACGUUAACCUGAGCGUAGGUUAUGAACAUAUCUCCAAAAGGUUACUAUGGCUAUGCUGGAAUGGAUUCCCGUUGAAAUGUGUCCCAUCAAAAUUGUAUAUGGAGAAUUUGGUUACUCUUGACUUGAGUCAUAGUCGCCUAAAACAAGUAUGGAAGGGAACCAAGAUCUUGGGUAAACUGAAAUUCCUUUACCUCAGUCAUUGCUAUUACCUAACUAGAACCCCUGACUUCUCUGGACUCAACAAUCUUCAGGAACUGUUGCUUAAUGAUUGCAUAAGGUUGGUAGAGGUUGACGAUUCUAUUAGAUUUCUCAAAAAACUUGUUGUUCUAGAUAUGAAGAACUGUAAAACACUUCAGAAGCUUCCCUCAAGCAUUUGGAUGUUGAAAACUCUUGAAAAUCUUGAUCUCUCUGGCUGCUCCAUGCUUGGAAAAUAUUCUGGAAUCAAGCUAUCUAAAUCACUGUCCCCAUUCCUCUCAUCUUGGAAUUUCAGAACAAAGAGAGUGGAUUCUAUUGGUUUGUCACUUUCCCCUGUACUUGGCUUAAGUUGCUUAAAAGAAUUGAGAAUGAAAAACUGCAAUCUGUCAUGUCUACCAAAUGAAGUUGGGAAUUUGAUCUCAUUGGAGACUUUGGAUCUUGGCAGAAAUAAUUUGCGUACCUUACCGGAUAGUAUCUGUAACCUUACUCUCUUGAAGAAGUUGUAUUUGUCACACUGUGAUGUGUCGCAUCUGCCCAGUGAAAUCGGGAGGUUGGUCACCUUAGAGGCUUUGAUUCUUGAAGGAAACAGUUUAGUUAACUUACCGGAUAGCAUCUGCAACCUUACUCGCUUAAAGAAUUUGAAUUUGUCACUCUGUGAUGUGUCGCAUCUGCCCAGCGAAAUUGGGCGGUUGACCACAUUGCAAAAGUUGAUUCUUGGAGGAAACAAUUUACUUACCUUGCCGGAUAGUAUUUGUAGCCUUGCUUGCUUGGAAGUGUUGUCGUUGCCACACUGUAAUGUGUCACAUCUGCCCGAUGGAAUUGGAAUGUUGAGCUCGUUAAAGUGGUUUGAUCUUAGAAGUAACAAUGUUAGUAUCCUACCAAAUAGUUUCAGUGACCUUGCUAGCUUGGAAAUACUCUACUUGAGUAAUUGUGGAAGGCUCCAAUCACUUCCAAAGCCUCCAGCAAGUUUACACCAUGUGGCUACAAGCAACUGCACAUUAAUACCUACCGAAUUCAACUGGCCACCUGGGUCGUGCAUGCCUCGGGAAUGGUCAAUGCAUAGAAUGAAUGUUGUGUAUCUUCCUGGGGAUGAGGUUCCCAAUUGGUUCCCGUACCAGUAUACAGGGUCAAAAUUAUCUCUUGUGGUACCACCUCUGGUGACUCGGAGAAUAAUUGGCUGGUCUUUGUGCAUAGUUUUCAGGACUCACAAAAAAUCUGGUCAAAGGUUUUAUAUGUAUAUUGUCAGUAAGAAAACUGAAGGCUUGCGAAAUGAAAACAAGUUCAAAACUGGGGUAACAUACCAAGAUGAAGACCGAAUGAAACUCAUGUAUUUCCCAUCAAUUGUCACAGGAAUCCAUUUGUUUAGCGGGGAUGAAUUAGAGAUUGAGAUAAGUCCAGAUGACCAGGAGAAGACAGUGUCGUGGUUGACGGUGAAGAAGUGUGGGAUUAAACUCGUUUACGAGGACGAUGUAGGCAUUACAGAGAUGAAAGUUUUGUAACAUUGAUCCAGUACACUACUUGGCACCUCUUAUUAGUAUGUUAUUCUCGAAGACGAGGUUUGUAGGUAUAGACAUUACUGGAUGUAAUUUCUCCUUUCUUAGAGACUGAUUUUGGAAUUCUACAAAUUUUUGUUGGUAAGACUCUGUUUUGACUUAGGGUGUCGAAGAUUCUUUAAUUCGAGGAAGAUACUUCUGGAAAGUUCCACCAUCAGUGUGGAUUUUUUCAAUGCUGCAUAGGCGUAAUCUGUCGAAGUUUCUGAAUUCAAAGAAAAGAUUUGUGGAAGGCUCAAGUAUUAGGUCUUGAAGGAGGUUUUGCACUCUUGUGGAGCUUAAUUCUUUUUCUGAUCCGUGGAGCUUAUUCCUCCGCGGCCAAAAUUCCAUCCAAGUGUUGAACCAAUCCAUCCCUGCAUGCUCCUAUCAGCUGGGGCUCUGGAUCUUUAAUGCUUUAGUGUAGAGCCUCAAAUGACUUUGUUUUGUACGCUCCUUUGUUUCGAGCCUUCUCGUUUUCUUUCCUUUGCUUUUGGAAAAUAUGCAUAACAAACCUGUUUAACUCUUUAUGCUUCUUGUGUUCAUAAAAUAACGUGCCACCAAAUUUUGU